ACCCGGUCUCGUCAGAUCAGCGAAGUUAAGCAACAUUGGGUAAAGUUAGUACUUGGAUAGGUGACCGCCUGGGAAUACUUGAUGCUGUAGGUAA
rnacentral:rRNA from 1 species